AAAGAAAUGGCUGAAGUAUAAGCAUUAAACUGUAAAUUUAAGUAUGGGAAAUCUCUUUCUUUA
rnacentral:tRNA from 1 species